CUAGUAAAUCCUACAAGGCACUCUUUCAGAAUCUUCUCUUUUUUUAGUAGAGGAAGUAAUGCACUUUACUUGUGUAGCCAUGACAACCAUGUAACAGGCCAGAGCAAUACUAGAGGUUUCCUUGCCAUUGCACUAUGAGAUUAAAAGUCUGCCCAUUAACUGUAGAGAGCCCUAGAUUGGGGAGGAAGCAUAUGCUUGGAAAGAUACCAUUGAACAAUUCCUGUUCUGCUAUAGGGAAAAAUGAUUUCACAAUAGUAAAUCAAACACAGUAGAAAAAAGACGAAGAAAAGGCAUGGAGCAUUAGCAAGACAUAUCCUCUGUGUGUGUGGACUUGAAGGUGCAAAUGUGGAAGAGAAGGCGAGAAAAAUGGAGUUUCUUCGGCUCUUCAGGAGUUUCAUUUGAAAGGAUGGAGAGAUAUUUCCUGAGACUGCAACGUAUCUGAUAAAUCAAAUAUACUGCAGGGAAAAAAAAAAGAGGUCUUAAUCACUCUGGACAUGAGUUCAACAACUAAAGUGUUAAUGCAGAAAAAUGCA